rnacentral:misc_RNA from 1 species
CAAGGACCUGAACAGAGGAAUCAACCCCCAAAUUUGCUACCCAAUGAUCUGCCAUUUGCAUCAAUAAAUCAAUCUUUUGCAUUCUCCCACCACCCACCAAAGAAUUUGAACAAAGAAUCUUCAAUUUCAAUAAAAGCUCCCCUAAAGCAUCAAUUAUAUGAACUUGAAAAUGCUGAAAAUUCAGGAAGAGCAAGUUUCAUAUCUAUCUUGGAU